rnacentral:rRNA from 1 species
UAGGGAAUCUUCGGCAAUGGACGAAAGUCUGACCGAGCAACGCCGCGUGAGUGAAGAAGGUUUUCGGAUCGUAAAACUCUGUUGUUAGAGAAGAACAAGGACGUUAGUAACUGAACGUCCCCUGACGGUAUCUAACCAGAAAGCCACGGCUAACUACGUGCCAGCAGCCGCGGUAAUACGUAGGUGGCAAGCGUUGUCCGGAUUUAUUGGGCGUAAAGCGAGCGCAGGCGGUUUCUUAAGUCUGAUGUGAAAGCCCCCGGCUCAACCGGGGAGGGUGAUUGGAAACUGGGAGACUUGAGGGCAGAAGAGGAGAGUGGAAUUCCAUGUGUAGGGGGGAAAUGCGUAGAUAUAUGGAGGAACACCAGUGGCGAAGGCAGCUCUCUGGUCUGUAACUGACGCUGAGGCUCGAAAGCGUGGGGAGCAAACAGG